GCAGAGCCUGAAGCCGGUGGUGGUGAAAGUCUAUGAUUACUAUGAGACAGAUGAAUUUGCCAUUGCUGAGUACAGCGCCCCCUGCAGCAAAGCCAAUGUUGAGCAGGAAAAUGCGUGAGUGAUGGAGCUGUAUUCUGGGCCCUGCUGAAUCCUCUCUGCUCCUCUCUGCAUGCAGCAAUUCCCCCAGGCGAAGUGGUU